UACGUAGGGGGCAAGCGUUGUCCGGAAUCACUGGGCUUAAAGGGCGCGUAGGCGGCGUGCGAGGUCGGGGGUGAAAUCCCACAGCUUAACUGUGGAAGAGCCUUCGAUACCGGCGCGCUGGAGGAAGGUAGGGGUGCGCGGAACUUCUGGUGGAGCGGUGAAAUGCGUUGAUAUCAGAAGGAACGCCGGCGGCGAAAGCGGCGCACUGGACCUUUUCUGACGCUGAGGCGCGAAAGCCAGGGGAGCAAACGGG
rnacentral:rRNA from 1 species